rnacentral:rRNA from 1 species
AUAGCCGACCUGAGAGGGUGAUCGGCCACACUGGAACUGAGACACGGUCCAGACUCCUACGGGAGGCAGCAGUAGGGAAUCUUCCGCAAUGGGCGAAAGCCUGACGGAGCAACGCCGCGUGAGUGAUGAAGGUCUUCGGAUCGUAAAACUCUGUUAUUAGGGAAGAACAUAUGUGUAAGUAACUGUGCACAUCUUGACGGUACCUAAUCAGAAAGCCACGGCUAACUACGUGCCAGCAGCCGCGGUAAUACGUAGGUGGCAAGCGUUAUCCGGAAUUAUUGGGCGUAAAGCGCGCGUAGGCGGUUUUUUAAGUCUGAUGUGAAAGCCCACGGCUCAACCGUGGAGGGUCAUUGGAAACUGGAAAACUUGAGUGCAGAAGAGGAAAGUGGAAUUCCAUGUGUAGCGGUGAAAUGCGCAGAGAUAUGGAGGAACACCAGUGGCGAAGGCGACUUUCUGGUCUGUAACUGACGCUGAUGUGCGAAAGCGUGGGGAUCAAACAGGAUUAGAUACCCUGGUAGUCCACGCCGUAAACGAUGAGUGCUAAGUGUUAGGGGGUUUCCGCCCCUUAGUGCUGCAGCUAACGCAUUAAGCACUCCGCCUGGGGAGUACGACCGCAAGGUUGAAACUCAAAGGAAU